GUCAAUAGGUUAGCAUGGUAGAGUGGUCUAAGGCAUUAGAUUAAGCAUCAAUAGAUGUGGGUUCAAAUCCCAUUUCGACA